UGGUAGCUCAGUCGGAUAGAGCAACGGCCUUCUAAGCCGUGGGUCGGGGGUUCGAAUCCCUCCC
rnacentral:tRNA from 1 species